rnacentral:rRNA from 1 species
CGGAACUAGAGACCGGCGCACGGGUGCGUAACGCGUAUGCAAUCUACCUUUUACAGAGGGAUAGCCCAGAGAAAUUUGGAUUAAUACCUCAUAGUAUAUAGACCUGGCAUCAGGAUUAUAUUAAAGUCACAACGGUAAAAGAUGAGCAUGCGUCCCAUUAGCUAGUUGGUAAGGUAACGGCUUACCAAGGCUACGAUGGGUAGGGGUCCUGAGAGGGAGAUCCCCCACACUGGUACUGAGACACGGACCAGACUCCUACGGGAGGCAGCAGUGAGGAAUAUUGGACAAUGGGCGCAAGCCUGAUCCAGCCAUGCCGCGUGCAGGAUGACGGUCCUAUGGAUUGUAAACUGCUUUUAUACGAGAAGAAACACUACUUCGUGAAGUAGCUUGACGGUAUCGUAAGAAUAAGGAUCGGCUAACUCCGUGCCAGCAGCCGCGGUAAUACGGAGGAUCCAAGCGUUAUCCGGAAUCAUUGGGUUUAAAGGGUCCGUAGGCGGUUUAAUAAGUCAGUGGUGAAAGCCCAUCGCUCAACGGUGGAACGGCCAUUGAUACUGUUAGACUUGAAUUAUUAGGAAGUAACUAGAAUAUGUAGUGUAGCGGUGAAAUGCUUAGAGAUUACAUGGAAUACCAAUUGCGAAGGCAGGUUACUAC